UGUAACACAAUUACACAUGUUUCAUUGGUGAGACAAACCUUCACCAUAGCUUUGAAGUUUAUGUAGAAAUCAGAAUGCACCAUGGAGAUCUAAUCCACAGUCGCAUCCUCAACACUCUUCCCUCUCGAUGGACUGGGAGCUGGGUGCAGCCAGCUGUCAGGCCAGGAGCUGUGCAGCAGCGGCCGAGCGCUUUGGAGUGGUCUCCAUUUCUGGACAAAUCAUUUUCCCUUUUAAUGUUUGGUUUCUCUACCAGGAGUGAGUGUCAGAGGUGGCAAGUCACAGCACACCUGACAUUAGACUGUAUUGUUUUCAUAGCGAGGGUUCAUUGUGACCAUCAGGAAGGCUGGGGAAGAGCUGGUCCACAGGUUCAAUGACAGUAGCACUCGUCCGCGCUUCAAGACCCACUCUGUCGCAUUUUGUCCAGCGAAGUUUCUAGACAACGGCCUCACGGCUUUGGUCUUUUGCCCAGAACUGGGUGACACACCACCCUUAGCUCCCAGGGAGGCUGGAGACAGAGAAGCAGCUGGCAACGUUGGCUUAGGUCACUUGUGGUCCACCACUUGGAGCUGGGCCCAUGGCUGCUCUGCACCAAAGUGGGUUCUUCCAGCAAGGGAGGAAUGGGCCUCCAGUACGCAGCAAAGGGCGCAAGAAAUGCCACAGUCCUGAGUCCACAGAGAAGUCUGGGGUGAGUUUGUCACAAUCAGGCAGCUGGGAUUUCAACCUCUCCUGGAAGUUCAAGGAGGAAUGUUUAUGUUGAUAUAUGCAGUGCUGGGGUUCAAAGCCAGGAGCUCACGCUUGCUAGGCUAGAGUUCUACCACUGAGCCACAUCCUUAGCUGGUGACCUUUUUGGAUACAAAUAAGAAUCAUAGCAAGAUGAAAACCAGAGCAGAGUUCACAUCUCAGCUGAUGCUGGUUCCACACUGAAUCCACAGUCUUCUUGCAGCUGAUGUUUGAUCCUCUGUGAAUCCAGCCCCUAUAACUUGAUCAGAUUGUUCCUGAUCUCUAUGGUGGGGCCCAAGGGCUGUGGCUGAUGACCUGUCCCAUCUACUAGACCACCAACAAGCACUUGACCUUCAUAUCUGAGCUCCUCCUGCCGUCUAGCAUCUUGCUUCCCUUGACUCCCCUGCACUUCCUUCACAUUCUUUGCCUCCUAAGUGAUAUGGACAGCUCUGUUCAGUUGUCCCCCUCAAUGUCCCUCUGGAGAGGGCUGCCUAGCAGGAGCACAAUGGGAGCCUCAACUGGAAAUCAGCCUGCAACUGGAAAUUGAUUAGUAGACAUUUUAAAAAAUGGUAAAUGUGCAACAAUUUAUUAAAUGCUAUAGUUUAGUUAACCUGAUAGGUUGAAAAUGUCAUUUUAACAUGUGAUCAGCAAAAAAACUUUCAUACUAAGUCUUGGAAAUCUGUUGUGUUCCUUGCACUCCACACAUCGUGAUGUGACUUAGCCACGGCUUCAGUGAUUGCAAACUGCAUGUGGCUAGUGGCUACUACACAAACUGUGCAAUUCUGGAGGACAGACACCAGCUUUAGGAACUGCAGAGCAGACCCUUAACAUAUACCUACUGAAUGAAUACAAACAGCCACUCUGCCAGGAGCAGGUCUUUCUUAAACAGAGGGUGCAGGGUCGACCAGAGAGCUCUGGAGCAGUGUGUGUGGUGAUCAAGAACUUGAACCUGCAUUCUCAGCCCUUGGGUGUGGCUACAUCAGGAGUUGACCCAGAUCCAGUCACUCAGCCUCUUUGUGUCUCUGUUUCCUCAUCUGUAAAGAGAGACAGCAGUGUCUGUCUGCAAGAUGCUGAGCAGAUUAAGUGACCAGUGUAGACAAAAUGCCAACUGCCUGGCACAGGGUGGGCGUGUAAGAAGCCAUGGCUGUGGUGAUUUUAAGCUAGACAUUCUGUGAGUCAUAGGGAGACUUGGUUUUAGCGGUAACAGUAUAGUUUGGUGAGGGCAGCGCUGGUCCUCAUGAUUGCUGUGUCCUAUUAACAGGACUCUUGCAGGAUUCUACCUGCUUGGGAACUGUCCUGGGGACCUCAAAGGAAUUUGUGGUGUUUCUGCUUUGGGCUAUGGCUGGGAAAAAGAGUGCCCAGACCCAACUCAGAGAAGAUGGGAGGAAGGAUGGAGUCGGCGCAUUGUCCUGGGGCCCUGAAGAGCAGAGUCCCGGGCGAGUCCCACCAGAAAGCUCUGCAGGGCUCGAGGUUGGAAGGAGUCUCACGUGCAGGUUCAGUUCACGUCCUGCUGGAUGACAGUGGCUGGGUGGCCCCUGGUGGACUGUGGGCUCUGUGUCACUCUCUCUCUCUGUGUCACUGAUGGAGGCACCAUAGGUGUGGGAUUUUCUAUGUUAGCCUGCAAGUCCACUUGCUGGGGACAGCAGCCCUCACAACUAGUACGUUCUGCUCUUGCCAAACACCGUUGUCCAGAUUUCUAUGCAACUUCGUUUCUUUACACAGAAAAUAAAAACCCAGAGAAGCA